GCUAUUUGUUGAUCAUAUGUUUUGUGCCUGCUAUUAGGCUAUGUGUGUUAUAUUCAUUAUCAUUUAAUUUCCUCUGCCUGAAGCGUAGCUAUUAUUCUCCCAUACUAUAAAUGAGGAAACAGAGACUCUGAGGAGUUGAGUAGCAUGGUAACUAACACCAUGUCCCUUCGCGGGUCAUUCGUAGUCAGAAUUCACCAAAGGCACCCUUCUAAUACCUUGCCAUGAUGUUUCUCCACACUAACUUCUUUAUCAAGAUGAUUGGAUCCACUCCUCCAUCUUAUUUUCAAAAAUAAAUUUGAAAAUUUCAUAUGCAGUUUUGGUGAGAGAAAUGGAAAGACAAAAAUCCGUGGAGAAAGGAGCAAUUUGUGAAAUAUUCAAUCCAGCUCGCACUAAACAUCACAAAAGAGAAAUGCACACUCUUUUGUGCAUUUGAGUCAACUUUGAGUUAGUACAUCGGCCUUAGAGAUUUAAUGCACAGUAGCCCCUUGCACACUGAAAAGGCUGGGAGGAAUUAGGUGUCAGCCUUCCAAGACUGCGGCGCUUACCUGAAUCAUACAAUGCCAGAGCUCAUAUGUCUAGCCAUUUUCACUGGAAACGAACAUAACAAUCUGUCCCUUUAUAUGUAAUUGCCUCUAUUAUAGCAUGAUGUUUCAAGCAGAGCUCCACAGAGAGAAAGGGGAAAUAAAACACUUUGUUUACACCCCUGGCAAACAAAAAUGCUUUCCAAACAUUAGCUUUGUUCUUCCCGUUAAACACAUAUUUUACAGCAAAUUCUUCUUGUAAGUUGUUUUCUCCAACGUGCAGGUCAAUAAAUGCUCUCAUUAUGGAAUUCAUCAGAGGAUGAUUUGUUGAGACAUUAAUCCAAUUCAGCAGAGUCUCCUGAACAAUCUCCUAAUGUUUACAGACUCUUACUUUUUUUAAAUUUCAUGAUCAAAAGAGUGUAGCAAAUGCUACAUAUUUAUUAUGCUCUUUCUUUCUGUGUGCCAAAGGUUAAUCACACAGUAAGUCUGAAGGCUCCAUUUCCCUGAUUCCUUUCAACUUUGAGUUAGUACAUUGGCCUUAGAGAUUUAAAUCAACAUCUCUCAAUUGGAAUUACCCCCCAAAUUCCAUCUGAGCUUUUUUGAUUGCACAGCCUUUUUGCUGAAAUCAAUGACAAACAUGACCUCGAGAUGAGCUGCAAAGAACUCUGUAGGAAAGAUUGGUCAAGACACUUUUUAGAGCAAAACAUCUUCAAAUUUAAAUUCUAUGAAUUAAGCACCUACUAGGGAAAUAUAUCUACUGAGUACUUUCUCAUGCUCCAAAUAUUUUCAAGAUCUCUCACAGAUAUCAUUUUCAUUUCUAUGUAUGGUAUAUUACUACACCUUAUUGUUCAGAAAAGAAAACUGAUUGAAAGGUUAUGUGAUAGGCAGAGCUAGAAUCUAAAAUAAGGAUUAUCUUGCCUCAGAACUUACCGUCUUUCCACCAGGAAAGCAAGGUCAGAAAACUAUGAUCCUGUGGCCUGUGGUUUUUGUAAAUAAAGUUUUAUUGGGACACAGCCAUGCCCAUUUGUUUGUGUGUCAUCUAUGGCAGCUUUUGCAAUACAAUGAGAGUUGAGCAGCUGCAACAAAGAUUAUCUGCCCCCAGAAGACUAAAAUUUUACUAUCUGGCCCUUUACAGAAAAUGGUGACCUCUACUAUAAAGAAUUGUAACGUAUUCUAGAAUACAUAGUGAUGAAUGAACAUGGUUUCCACUUUCCAGCAAUUCAAAUUCUAGUUGAAGAGGCCAACAAACACCUAAGAAGCUCUCUAACAAAGAUGUUCUACCUCAACAAUUUGGACUUCUAAGGAAGAGAAUAUCUUUUUAUUCCUCUCAUCAAACAGCUCAAGCCCAUAUUACUUUGGCAAGGUUGUUAUUUUUUUUUGACCUCUAGGAUUCCCACUUCUUCUGUGAAAAUUCCAAGCUCUCAGGGCCCCUAUAGUCCAGCACAUCAAUCUGAGACACAAUUGCUUGGUUGAAACAAAACUGGAGCCACUGCUCUGUGCCUCUUGGGCCCCGCUGUCCAUUGCCAUUGUGCCCACUGCAAUCUUACGAUGUCACCAGAAAAAUGUAGUUGCUUGGUCCAGGAUUUGAAAAGGGCAUGUUCCUGCCUGAAACCUAGGGGCUUCUUAUCUAGCAAGUCUCCUCAUUGACAAAGAGCAAUUCUGAAUUGAGGGUCUUCCCUUGUAUUGGUGGUAAUUUCUCCAGAACAAGACCCCUUGUUACCCUGAUUCUUUCUUUCUUUUUUUUUUUUUUAAGAUGGAGUCUGCCUCUGUCACCUAGGCUGGAGUGCAGUGGUACAAUCUCAGCUCACUGCAACCUCCGCCACCUGGGUUCAAGCAAUUCUCCUGCCUUAGCCUCCUGAGUAACUGGGAUUACAGGCGCCCACCACCAUGACCAGCUAAUUUUUUUUUUUUUUUUUUUUUUUUUUUUUUUUUUUGUAUUUUUAGUAGAGAUGGGGUUUUACUGUGUUGGCCAGACUGGUCUCAAACUCCUGACCUCAUGAUCCACCCGCCUCGGCCUCCCAAAGUGCUGGGAUUACAAGCGUGAGCCACCACGCCUGGCCUCCUUGUUACCCUGAUUCUUAAUAUGUGCCAAGGACAUGCAGUGCUGGAUGUCUGGCUCCAAUGCCACGUGUUAAAUUUCAGGUCAGUGGUUGAGCCUAGUUGGCUCCUAAAUCUUGGGUGUCAUCAGUGCAGACUUCUAGCCCUGAGGUUCUGCUCCACUCGACCCUGCUCUCAGUGAGGUUUUACGUGCAUCUUGGCAUCUUUCAAGAUUCCUCCCUGUGACUGUUUGCUUUAAAUGUUCUGGCUUCCAUUUUCUGAACUUAGUGGCAGAAAGCUAGCCCUUUCUUUCAGUAAUCUAAGGACAAUUAGCCAUUUAUCUGAAUCCUUUGAUUUGGCCAAACUCAAGGGCUUCUUAGCGAAUUCAUUAUAGUACCCCCUGUUAUACCAUUUGAUGGGAGCAGUUUUUAAGUGGUCAGAUACUUUAUGUUUACCAGGAAUGCCCAAAUUAAGCAUGUUAUUUGAUGCCUUUUUUUGAAGCUCUUGUCUUCAGAUGCAGACAUCACACUUGUCAUCACCAUUAAAGAGAGCUGAGAUGUAGCAAACUGAAAAAAGCCUUGGAUUUUUCUUUUUCUUUUGGCUUUACAUUGGGAAAGAUUUCCCAAACCUCCAAUUCUCUCUUGCAUCUCAAAGCAGAUAUCAAUGGAUAAUUUCAGUCCUGCUCAAAUGCAGAGCACAUAACUAUUUUGAAUCAUGAAGAGUAAAUUCUACGUGUUGGUUUUCAUAUAAAAAUAUAUGGAUACAGCACCCUUGGCAAAAUGUCAUUUGGUUAAAUAUUUCACUUGAAAAUCCCUUUGAAGGAGAUAAGGCAUAGUUCAGAACAUUUCUAUCCCAGCUAACUGGAAUACUACAUAGAGUAGUAGACCCUCAAAGUCUUUUCAUGAUCAGAGUGAGUGCCAACAGGAAACUGAUAUUUUGAGGAAAUUUGUCUCAAUUUACCUUGGAUUUCUGUUUGGCUUCUAGUCCAGAGUCUCUGGGUAGGAUAAGAUUCUGCAAAACGACUGAAGUGAUCCAUCACUGCAAAUGCGUAUCCAAGGUUCCAGCUGUCAGGUUGAAAAGACAAGGUUUUCCCCACACUUAACUAGAGGUGUGUUGUUUUGUGUUAUUUCCAGUUCAGUUUUCCAUGGAAGAGAGUUCUUCUGCUGGGUGCUUUGAGACUCAGUCUUACAGUUGGAAGCCAUGUCCUCAAAUCUUAUGAUAACUCCCCACCACAGCCCCAGAUUUUACAUUGAUUGUUGAUUCUUUCCCUGCUCAGAUGGCCAACAUAAUCAGGAAAUUUUAUUUGAGCCUUGAGAUGAUUUUCCCAUGCCACUUCCCCAGCUUGAGUUGAGGGCAGUGGGAGAGGGAGAGUGAGAAGACUACAGCUGUGAUUGAGUGAGUUUAAAUCCCAAACUCAUUGAAUAUCCCUAAGAGACAAUUUAAGCCGGAAGGGACUGAGUCACCUUCAGCAGGGAUUCCAGAAUUACUACAUAGAAGGGCUAGAGACAGAAAUCAUAUCAGAAGGGAGGAGCAGGAACCAUGGACCCUGACUUGCUUAGCACUUAUAGUGAUCCUGUUUAAAUGCCAAAAUUAAGAAAUGCUUAACAUCAGUGGAAGUGGUAGCUUGAAAGCUAAGAUGGUAUAGUAAACAUUACUAGGGCUUAUGAAAGUGUCUGUUUCCUCUCCCUUGGGACACAUACUCCUAAAAAGUUUUGUGUGUGGCCAUUCAAUUUCCUUUGGACUGUGAAAUACAAGUGGAAAUGAUGUAUAUCACUUGUGUGUGGAAGCACUUAUGGGCUGUAGCACGACUCUCCCUGCUCUCUGCCUCGACCGUGGGAGAUCCUGAAGACUUAUAUUAAGAUGGUUAUGGCAUGAGAUGAUAAAGAUUUUAUCACCCUGGGGUUGUAAAUAACUAUAAUAGACCCACGCUACGCAUGCAUCAUGAGUGGGAAAUAAACCUUUGUUACUUUAAGCUACUGGGACUUGAGGGUUGUUUGUUACUGUAGUUAGCAUAUCCUGAUUGAUGAAGGUGUUCAGUUACAGAACAUUAAAGUUAUAUUCUUGCACAUCUAAUUUUAUGUUUGUAAAUUUCAAACCUACUACACAACCAUUUAACGUAUAUGAAUUCAAUGGUAACUGCUCAGCAGGAAAAAUACCAGCUUUUAAAAAGUGUGGCUGAUGAGUCCCGUUAUCUGUCAAGGAACACGUUGUAAGAAUAUUGCACACUG
rnacentral:lncRNA from 1 species